UACAGAGAGUGCGAACGUUGUUCGGAAUUACUGGGCUUAAAGCGUACGUAGGCGGCACAGCAAGUGUCGGGUGAAAGCCCACGGCUCACCCGUGGAACUGCCCGGCAAACUGCUGAGCUAGAGUGUGGUAGGGGAGAGCGGAACUCCUGGUGGAGCGGUGAAAUGCGUAGAUAUCAGGAGGAACACCGGUGGCGAAGGCGGCUCUCUGGUCCACAACUGACGCUGAGGUACGAAAGCUAGGGUAGCGAACGGG
rnacentral:misc_RNA from 1 species